rnacentral:rRNA from 1 species
AUGGUUCUUGGUUACCCUCCGGUGGAAGCUCAGGCUAUCGCUGACCGACUUAACUGUCGGCUGGGUUCUUUCCCCACGACCUACCUGGGGAUCCCCAUUAGUGAUUCAUGCCUCACCGUGGCGGACCUCCGCCCCACGGUGACCCGUAUGCAACAUCGCGUCGAGCCUUGGAAAGGGCGCUGGCUAUCGAAGGCUGCGCAUGUGAUUCUCAUCAACUCCUCUCUCGCCAGCCUUCUUUGGUACCUCAUGAGCUUUUGUAGCCUCCAUGAAACGCUGCACACGGAAAUUGCCAAGUACUAAUCCAGGUUCUACUGGGCUGGCGAGGAUGACAGACAGAAGUACCAUAUGGUCAGUUGGCCGGACAUAUGUAAACCCAAGGACUAG